UUGUAGCUCAGUGGUAGAGCACUCCCUUGGUAAGGGAGAGGUCCCGGGUUCAAAUCCCGGCG
rnacentral:tRNA from 1 species